rnacentral:rRNA from 1 species
CCUACGGGUGGCUGCAGUGGGGAAUAUUGGACAAUGGGCGAAAGCCUGAUCCAGCAAUACCGCGUGAGUGAUGAAGGUCUUCGGAUUGUAAAGCUCUUUUAGUAGGGAAGAUAAUGACGGUACCUACAGAAAAAGCACCGGCAAACUUCGUGCCAGCAGCCGCGGUAAUACGAAGGGUGCUAGCGUUGUUCGGAAUCAUUGGGCGUAAAGCGUACGUAGGCUGUUUAAUAAGUCGAUUGUGAAAGCCCCAGGCUUAACUUGGGAAUUGCAAUCGAAACUGUUUUACUAGAGUGUGGUCGGGGAUAGUGGAAUUCCUAGUGUAGGGGUGAAAUCCGUAGAGAUUAGGAGGAAUAUCGGUGGCGAAAGCGACUAUCUAGGCCAAUACUGACGCUAAGGUACGAAAGCGUGGGGAGCAAACAGGAUUAGAUACCCUGGUAGUC